rnacentral:rRNA from 2 species
GUACGAGCGGCGACGGGUGAGUAACACGUGAGCAACCUGCCCCUGACUCCGGGAUAAGCGGUGGAAACGCCGUCUAAUACCGGAUACGACCCGCCACCUCAUGGUGGAGGGUGGAAAGUUUUUCGGUCAGGGAUGGGCUCGCGGCCUAUCAGCUUGUUGGUGGGGUAACGGCCUACCAAGGCGAUUACGGGUAGCCGGCCUGAGAGGGCGACCGGCCACACUGGGACUGAGACACGGCCCAGACUCCUGCGGGAGGCAGCAGUGGGGAAUAUUGCGCAAUGGGCGAAAGCCUGACGCAGCGACGCCGCGUGGGGGAUGACGGCCUUCGGGUUGUAAACCUCUUUUACCACCAACGCAGGCUCGAAGUUUUCUUCGGGUUGACGGUAGGUGGGGAAUAAGGACCGGCUAACUACGUGCCAGCAGCCGCGGUAAUACGUAGGGUCCGAGCGUUGUCCGGAAUUAUUGGGCGUAAAGAGCUCGUAGGCGGCGUGUCGCGUCUGCUGUGAAAGACCGGGGCUUAACUCCGGUUCUGCAGUGGAUACGGGCAUGCUAGAGGUAGGUAGGGGAGACUGGAAUUCCUGGUGUAGCGGUGAAAUGCGCAGAUAUCAGGAGGAACACCGGUGGCGAAGGCGGGUCUCUGGGCCUUACCUGACGCUGAGGAGCGAAAGCAUGGGGAGCGAACAGGAUUAGAUACUCUGGUAGUCCAUGCCGUAAACGUUGGGCGCUAGGUGUGGGGACUUUCCACGGUUUCCGCGCCGUAGCUAACGCAUUAAGCGCCCCGCCUGGGGAGUACGGCCGCAAGGCUAAAACUCAAAGGAAUUGACGGGGGCCCGCACAGCGGCGGAGCAUG